rnacentral:rRNA from 2 species
AUUUGAGUGAGUGGCGAACUGGUGAGUAACACGUGGGAAACCUGCCCAGAAGCGGGGGAUAACACCUGGAAACAGAUGCUAAUACCGCAUAACAACUUGGACCGCAUGGUCCGAGUUUGAAAGAUGGCUUCGGCUAUCACUUUUGGAUGUGUCCCGCGGCGUAUUAGCUAGAUGGUGGGGUAACGGCUUCACCAUGGCAAGCUGAUACGUAGCCGACCUGAGAGGGUAAUCGGCCACAUGUGGGACUGAGACACGGCCCAAACUCCUACGGGAGGCAGGCAGUAGGAGAAUAGCUUCCACAAUGGAGUUCGAAAGUCUGAUGGAGCAACGCCGCGUGAGUGAAGAAGGGUUUCGGCCAGGUCGUAAAACUCAUGUUGUUAAAGAAGAACAUAUCUGAGAGUAACUGUUCAGGUAUGUGACCGGUAUUCUAACCAGAAAGCCACGGCUAACUACGUGCCAGCAGCCGCGGUAAUACGUAGGUGGCAAGCGUUGUCCGGAUUUAUUGGGCGUAAAGCGAGCGCAGGCGGUUUUUUAAGUCUGAUGUGAAAGCCUUCGGCUCAACCUGAAGAAGUGCAUCGGAAACUGGGAAACUUGAGUGUCUUAGAAGAGGACAGUGUGUCAACUCCAUGUGUAGCGGUGAAAUGCGUAGAUAUAUGGAAGAACACCAGUGGCGAAGGCGGCUGUCUGGUCUGUAACUGACGCUGAGGCUCGAAAGUAUGGGUAGCAAACAGGAUUAGAUACCCUGGUAGUCCAUACCGUAAACGAUGAAUGCUAAGUGUUGGAGGGUUUCCGCCCUUCAGUGCUGCAGCUAACG